rnacentral:tRNA from 1 species
GCCCUCGUAGCUCAGUGGAUAGAGCGUUGGUUUCCUAAACCAUGCGUCGCAGGUUCGAUUCCUGCCGAGAGUA